rnacentral:rRNA from 1 species
GACGAACGCUGGCGGCGUGCUUAACACAUGCAAGUCGAACGAAGUGGCGAACGGGUGAGUAACGCGUAAUCAACCUGCCCUUCAGAGGGGGACAACAGUUGGAAACGACUGCUAAUACCGCAUACUGAAGGAGGGGAUUGCGUCUGAUUCGCUAGUUGGAGGGGUAACGGCCCACCAAGGCGAUGAUCAGGAGCCGGGCUGAGAGGAGGGACGGCCACAAUGGGACUGAGACACGGCCCAGACUCCUACGGGAGGCAGCAGGGGGGAAUCUUCCGCAAUGGAGGAAAGUCUGACCAAGCAACGCCGCGUGAGUGAAGAAGGUUUUCGGAUCGUAAAGCUCUGUUGUUAAGGAAGCGGUACUUAACCAGAAAGGGACGGCUAACUACGUGCCAGCAGCCGCGGUAAUAC